CAUUAUUCUCAGGGCGGGGCGGAAUUCCCCACCGGCGGUAAGCAGCACCAGUUGCAAGCCCGCGAGCGCCUUCUUCAAAGAAGGGUCCAGCAGAUCAGGUUUAAAUCCUGAGCCGACGGUUAAAGUCCGGAUGAAAGAGAAUGUGC
rnacentral:ncRNA from 2 species